GGGGGUGCACUGGAUUCGACGAGGGUGAAGAGGCGGCAGGGGCAUACCGAGUUCUCCGCAUCUCGUUAAACUGUGGAAAAUAAAUUUAAGAGCAAACACAGAGUUUGCACUGGCUGCCUAAUUAGGCGGCCCGUUAUGCCGGUUUUCUCCUACGGGAUCGGACAUAGCGUCACUUAGUAGGAUAGUCGGCGCGUUACGCCUUAGGGUCGCCGGCGAAUCUAAACUAGGGCUGGCUGCGGACCGAGUUUUCCUUUUCAUCUCGUAUGCGGCGACAAUUGAGAAAAGGAUAAGUAUGUAGAGCCUGUACGCUGAACUCUCUCGGACGCGGGUUCGAUUCCCGCCACCUCCACCA
rnacentral:tmRNA from 1 species